rnacentral:rRNA from 1 species
CAAUUCUCCCCAAGGAAAGGUCGGCCUAAUUGGUGCCAAAAUGGGGUGGUGCAGUUGUAGUUGCGGGGCUCCGGUCUUGGGAUGGGUGGGUACCGCCGGAGCGAGGAGAGCGCGCGGCGGAGCCGGCGGAAGCGGGAGGCGCCGCCGCGGGCCGAGGAGGGGUUCUUUGAACGUCCCGUCCCAGCCUACCCGCGGCGACGCCUCCAGCCCACGCCCCGCAGCGACAGCGGCAGUUACUGCGGCAAGCCCUAGCGGUGUGCGAAGUUGCGGUGCAGCAGCCGGCAGAGCCUCCGGCGGAAGCGGUUGCGGCGCAGCCCGCGGCAGGUGCGCCACGGCGCCUGGCUCGGACACCACAGGCGGCUCACCGACGUGCGGUUGGAGUCCCUGGCAAGACUCCCGUGAACGGCAAGACUCACCGACGCUGGGGAGAGAAAGCUUAAGGUACAAAGAUAUAUCCAACAAAGACAGCGACUACGCACACUCCAAACAGACAGCGUCGACGAGCCACGAUUCCCGUUCUCCAAGCGGUUCUUCGCCAUAAGGCUCUUCCGCGUCUACUUCUUCUGGGAUUUUUACGAACUACUCAGAAGAAGGGCCGUCUUCCAACUACUACUACAAGUCCUCCCACGGUAAGGAAGCAUAGACGACCUAGCACUAAGCUGUAUCGCGCGGUUCGUUGUGUUAAUUCGUUUUAUCCUUCCUUUUCCGACCGUUUACCCUACAAGGAAACGGAUUCCAGUCUGGAUAACGACUUCUUCUCUACAAGUUUCAAUAUGCGUGACCGUUCGCCUUUUCAUUUAGGACUCCUGCUGUACGUACCCUCAGAACCCUCAUCGUAGGGGGAGCGGCGUGCCCGGAGGAGCGACGUACCCGGAGGAGGAACGGCCUCACUGCGGGGAGCGGUCUCGUCGCGGCCGGUUCGGGUAGCCGGUGGUCACAAAAACAAUACGUCCAACCUUCUUUUCUUCUUCUAGGUCUCUUCUAGAAUCAUUAUUCUAUCAAAAAUAAUUUCAUCAAAAUCCAGUAAAGAACAUUAAAGUCUAUACCUCACGACCAGAAAUCAAAAACAAAACUGAAACACUUUGGACCAUGGAUACCUACUUUGACACAUUAUAACUACUUUGAUACAUAUACAUACCUAGUUUGAACGAUGAUAACCAUUGUACACAACCUAUAGGAUA